rnacentral:rRNA from 1 species
UUGGAGGGCAAGUCUGGUGCCAGCAGCCGCGGUAAUUCCAGCUCCAAUAGCGUAUAUUAAAGUUGUUGCAGUUAAAAAGCUCGUAGUUGAAUUUCGGGAUCAGUUGGUCGGUCGUGCCUCGGUACGUACUGGUCAAAUUGAUUCCUACCUUCCGACGAACCACGAUGUCAUUAAUUUGGUGUCGCGGGAAAUCAGGACUGUUACUUUGAAAAAAUUAGAGUGUUUAAAGCAGGCUCGCGCUUGAAUACAUUAGCAUGGAAUAAUGAAAUAGGACGUUUGAUUCUAUUUUGUUGGUUUCUAGGAUCGACGUAAUGAUUAAUAGGGAUAGUUGGGGGCAUUAGUAUUCAAUUGUCAGAGGUGAAAUUCUUGGAUUUAUUGAAGACUAACUACUGCGAAAGCAUUUGCCAAGGAUGUUUUCAUUAAUCAAGAACGAAAGUUAGGGGAUCGAAGACGAUCAGAUACCGUCGUAGUCUUAACCAUAAACUAUGCCGACUAGGGAUCGGAUGAUGUUAAUUUUUUAAUGACUCAUUCGGCGCCUUACGGGAAACA